GUGUUGCAACGUAACAGUUUUAAUUGCUAAACCCUAGCUGCAAACCCAAAUCUCUGGAUUUAAUAAGAAUUGGGUGUGAGAGACUGUGAACAGUGGCAGUUUUCUGCCAGGUGGGUUUAUUUUUUCCUUAAUUCCCUCAUUUGCUUCCUCCUUGGUGCCCAAGCCCACACCAAAGGCCUCUGGCUGAUCGCUGCCUGCACGCCCUCCUCUUGGUGAUGGGCCUGUGGUCUCUCCUCUAGGUUUACCUUCUUUCCUGCUCCUGGUUGAGAUUUGCAGACCUUUGUGUCCACUGUGGUCUCCUUGGAACAAGCAACUGGAAAUUCUUCACACCAGCUAUGGCUGGUAGGCAUUUCAGGCCACAACUCAGGCUUCCAGACUCCGGACAGUAUUCCCAGAGUCAGCUGCCUUCUGAAUUGGGAGAAAGAGAGAAAGGAAAAUACAGGAAGACCCAACCAUGUGGAUUAACACCCUACAGCAUGAUCCAGGCCCACAGCCAGCUCUGUGUUUCCAGGUGGGAGAUUAUAGACAUCUUCUUUUUUUUUUUUUUUUUUUUUUUUUUGAGACGGAGUCUUGCUCUGUCACCCAGGCUGGAGUGUAGGGGUGUGAUCUUGGCUCACUGCAAGCUCUGCCUCCCGGGUUCACGCCAUUCUCCUGCCUCAGCCUCCCGAGUAGCUGGGACUACAGGUGCCCACCACCAUACCCAGCUAAUUUUUUUUUUUUUUUGUAUUUUUAGUAGAGACAGGGUUUCACCGUGUUAGCCAGGAUGGUCUCAAUCUCCUGACCUUGUGAUCCUCCCACCUCAGCCUCCCAAAGUGCUGGGAUUACAGGCAUGAGCCACCACGCCCAGCCAGACAUCUACUUUUUCAAAAGGAAUAAUAAAAGGAUAAAAAAUAAUAUUUUCUAACAUCUGUUAGAUACAAACUGGACCUGGAAGAGUAGCCUUUUGUACUGAGUACUACUAUUAUUUCCAUUUCACGGAUC
rnacentral:lncRNA from 10 species